GGGGCGAAGAUAAGACGGAUUAGCGGCGGACGGGUGAGUAACACGUGAGUAACCUGCCUUUUACACAGGGAUAGCCUCGGGAAACCGGGAUUAAAACCUGAUGAAACUAUCAAAUCACAUGAUUAAGAAAGUUAAAACUCCGGUGGUAAAAGAUGGACUCGCGUCCCAUUAGCUAGUUGGUGAAGGUAACGGCCCACCAAGGCAACGAUGGGUAGCCGGCCUGAGAGGGUGAACGGCCACAUUGGAACUGAGAAACGGUCCAAACUCCUACGGGAGGCAGCAGUGGGGAAUAUUGCACAAUGGGGGAAACCCUGAUGCAGCGACGCCGCGUGAGCGAAGAAGGCCUUCGGGUCGUAAAGCUCUUUUAUAUGGGAAGAUAAUGACGGUACCAUAAGAAAAAGCCCCGGCUAACUACGUGCCAGCAGCCGCGGUAAUACGUAGGGGGCUAGCGUUGUCCGGAAUCACUGGGCGUAAAGGGUUCGCAGGCGGCAAUGCAAGUCAGAUGUAAAAGGCAAAGGCUCAACCUUUGUAAGCAUCUGAAACUGUAUAGCUUGAGAAGUGUAGAGGCAAGUGGAAUUUUUAGUGUAGCGGUGAAAUGCGUAGAUAUUAAAAAGAAUACCGGUGGCGAAGGCGACUUGCU
rnacentral:rRNA from 1 species